ACCCGUCUAGCUCAGUCGGUAGAGCGCUGGCCAUUUAAGCCAGUGGUCGUGGGUUCGAUCCCCACGGGGGGUG
rnacentral:tRNA from 1 species